AACGCACAUUGCGCCCACUAGUAUUCUGGUGGGCAUGCCUGUUCGAGCGUCAUUUCAACCCUCAAGCCUGGCUUGGUGUUGGGGCUCUGCGUCUGCAGUCCCUUAAAUCCAGUGGCGGACACGCUAGGUCUCCGAGCGCAGUAGUUUCUCCUCGCUCAGGGCGUCCGGCGUGGGCUUGCCUCGCACCCAUCUUUUGCAAGGUUGACCUCGGAUCAGGUAGGAAUACCCGCUGAACUUAA
rnacentral:misc_RNA from 1 species